rnacentral:sRNA from 1 species
CCCCUCUAGCUCCUCCCCUUGCCACGCCCUUUAAGGCAUGCGAUGUCCAAAUCCUACUCUGCACCCCAGGGGCACCCCUUGGACCCCCGGGUUCGCUGCAGGGCCCACACCUGGAUCAGGCCUCUCACGGGGACGCUCUCGCCAAUGUAAUAAAGAGGAGAAAACGUCCUAGGGGAAGGGCCUGACCCUGCUUCAUCCAGUCAGCAAAAAGCCACAUGGAAGGGACCACCUCAGCCACUCUGGAAGCCACAUCCAUCACUUCUCUGACCGCACCUAGGCUGCUUCCCAGGCCCUGAGGUCCUAGUGUGGACCUCCCUGCCGUGAUUAAUACAGUUUUUCAGAUUAAGUUCUCCACGACUACACGCUUCUGAAACUGUCAUAGGCACAGCCACAGCUUCAUUCAGGGCAGACGCACAAAAGCAGACUCUCCGUGGGGCAUGUUUCUGGAGCAUCAAUAUUACUGCAGCAUUUGGAUUAAACAAAUUUAAAUAAUUUCGAAAAUAAAAAAUUGAACAUUUAAGACAAGGCUGGAAAAGUCAUCUGCCUUUAAUAACUGUCAUCUGUGCCUCACAUGUCAGACUUUCUCCAAGAAAAAAUCUCUGAAGAGAACCUAUUUCCAUUCUUAUAAAUAGUAAAAAUGAUAAAUCAUAUCAAGUCAAUUGAAA